rnacentral:rRNA from 1 species
CACGUAGGGCGCAAGCGUUGUCCGGAAUUAUUGGGCGUAAAGGGUUCGUAGGCGGUUUGUCGCGUCGGGAGUGAAAUCCACUGGCUUAACUGGUGGCUUGCUUUCGAUACGGGCAGACUGGAGGUAUGCAGGGGAGAACGGAAUUCCUGGUGUAGCGGUGAAAUGCGCAGAUAUCAGGAGGAACACCGGUGGCGAAGGCGGUUCUCUGGGCAUGUCCUGACGCUGAGGAGCGAAAGCGUGGGGAGCGAACAGG